rnacentral:lncRNA from 1 species
CUCAUUCUGUCUUGCCGCCACAAUGUAAGAAUUGUCUCUCACCCUCUGCCAUGUAAGAAUUCUCUUUCACCCUCUGCCGUGAUCGUGAGACCUUCCCCAGCCAUGUGAAACUUUUUCAGCUUUCCUCCACUGUUUUGGGAAACGUCACCUUCUUAUCUUGGAAGAGUAAUCUCAAAAUUGAAGCAUCUUAGAUCCAACAAGAAUUAAAAGGAUGGGAAGUCCUUGCAGCCAUCCAAUAGAGUCAGAAGACUUUGGAUUUUGGAGUCUGUGAGAUUAUCUUACAGAGCAAGACUGCAGAUCAAGAUUUUCCAACGUGGUGCUGACUUUUUUGAGAACAGUUAAUGAGAACUAGGAAAGUCCUUGCAGACCAUCCAGUCCAGCGGCUUUCAAAUGGAAAAUGUGAAAGGACAACAGAAUCACAUGGAUUCUUUUCUGAACUGCUUUUUUCCAGUGAUGCCAUAUUCUAUAAGACUUCAUGUGAAGGUGUGGAGGACGGGUAAUGUCUGAAUCUUCCAGGCAAUGAGAGGGAUGGUGUGAGUCUGGAAAUUCUUUGUGAUGGUCUGAGACUCCCCUUACUCCAGUUAAGAACACUGACUUAAUUCGAUCUGGUUUUUUUUAACAAAUGGCCUCUGAGACGUAGAGCAGUGAGGAUAAGGACUCUUACCCGGUUACAGAGUGGAGUAAGGGCUAGAACUCAACUCUUAAAAAUUUCAAAUGCAAUGUUCUUUCUACAAUAUUGUGCCUACUUCUUCACUUCUGCUUAUAGGCAACUUCCUUUUCCUUUAAUUCUCUAAUAUUUGGAGGGCACGUCACAACUUAUACACUUGCUCUAUAUGUUUUACAUUGCUUCUCAUGGUUUCUCAUGCAUAAGUAUAGUAUUUUCUUAUAUUUUAAAUUUUCUAAGAACAGGUAACCUAUUUUAAACUCCCCUUGCAAUUAUGCAGGUAACUAACACAUUGAUGAUAAGCUAAUAUUAAGAGAGCAAAAUAGUUGAUGAUUAGUUUAUUAGUAUCUCAAAAUAAUCCAUUUGAUGUGCUAAGGUGCUAUUAGUUACAACAUUUCAAGUAUACAUGCAAUUCUUGUUAGAAAUAUUAUCCACCUUUUGAAAUACAUGUUGAUUAAAGACUAACAUGGGCUGUGGGCAUAGGUACAGUAACAGCAUACCAUAGGCCGGAGAAAGAGUUGACUUUGGAGGUCCAAGAUCAAGAAGCAGGAUGUCUAACAGGGCUCUUGAGAAUUCUAGGGCAGCCGGUACUCGAAAGGCAAGAUUUGAUUGUGAAUGAUUUCAUGCAACUCCGUUGGUUAAUAAGCAAAUCCUGCCCACACUUGUGGAUAACAUGGAAGCUACCUGAGCAGGUAAAGGCUAAGACAGAAGAUCCAUGAACAGAACUGGAGUUUUGAUAAUUCACCAGGAACUUGGUUACUUUGUUGUACCUUUUAUGCUUUUAUAUUUCUUCUUCCCUUUCAUUUCCAUGCAAUGUAUUUAUAACUUGUAGCUAGAUUUUUAGAUUACUGCCAGACAAAUUCAGUCAAUUUAAUUAAUUAGGCAAAUUAAAGUGAAAAUUAUGUUUUAGGGGCUGUUAAAAUUUAUAAGACAUUAGCACAUUCUUCUCAUGUGCUUUUAUUAUUAUUACAAAUGUUGUUUCAUAAUUAGCCAUGUGUUAAUUGUUAGCUUGGGGAAUGAUUUACGUGUUUAAAAUUGGGAGAAAUCAUUUUGGCUAUGGCUACCUCUUUUAAUUUACUUACAUAUUUUUUUCCCAUCACACAGUGUUUGACUUUUACAACCACAUACAUUUUGAUUAGAACCUGAAAUAAUUCAGUAAAACAAGAUGAUGGUUUUUUGUUCUGCUCAAUCUUUGUAUCAUAACCUUCACUUCUCAAUGCUCAAAUGAUGGAAUGAAAAGUGGACAAUUCUUGACUGCAUCGUGCUGCCCUUGUGUUGCUGUACUGUUAUUUCACACUUGAUACAUUCACAUUUUUUCUAUUCUUAUGAAUUUUCUCAAAAAUUGUACUCUAAAGUGCAUGAGGACAGAGACUAUGUCUUAUUUUAUUUUAUUUUAUUUAUUACUUCAAGUUCUUGGAUACAUGUGCAGAAUGUGUAGGUUUGCUACAUAGGAAUACGUGUGCCAUGGUGGUUUGCUGCGCACCUAUCAACCCGUCAUCUGGGUUUUAAGCCCCAUAUGCAUUAGGUAUUUGUCCUAAUGCUCUCCCUCCCCUUCCUCCCAACCUCCCAACAGGCUGGUGUGUGAUGUUCUCCUACCUAUGUUCAUGUGUUCUCAUUGUUCAAUUCCCACUUAUGAGUGAGAACGUGUGGUGUUUGGUUUUCUGAUCUUGUGUUAGUUUGCUGAGAAUGAUGGUUUCCAGCUUCAUCCAUGUCCCUGCAAAGGACAUGAACUCAUUCUUUUUUAUGGCUGCCUAGUGUUCCAUGGUGUAUAUGUGCCACAUUUUCUUUAUCCAGUCUAUCGUUGAUGGGCAUUUGGGUUGGUUCCAAGAAGAGGAGAGAAAGAGACUAUGUCUUAUUAAUUCUAUUAGGUUGGUGUCUAAUUCUAUUAGGUUGGUGUCUUAUUAAUUCUAUUAGGUUGGUGCAAAAGUAAUUGUGGUUUUUGCCAUUACUUUCAAUUGCAAAAACUGCAAUGACUUUUGCAUCAAUAUAAUACAUGUCUUGUAGUAGUAGUUUCCAAACUAGCCACAUCAGAAUCACCCAAGGUGUCUUUUAAAAAACCUAGAAUCUAAGAUCUCAGCUUGGGAAUUCUGAAAAGUUUUAAGAAGGGUCUCAAGAUUCUGAUUUUUUUAAAAGCUCAUCCAGAUAAUUUUUCUGGACAGUUGAUUUUGAAAUUCACUGGUCUAUAGCAUGAAACACUGCCUUGCAUUUAGUAAUUGCUCAAAGUGUUCUUUUGUUUAUUUUGAAACUUACAUCACUCAAGAGAGCCAUGUAAACCAGGUCUAGCGUGUUUACUUCAUUAUUUUCUCUUCUUUUUAUUUUAUUUUACUCUAAGUUCUGGGAUACAUGUGCUAAUCAUGCAGGUUUGUUACAUAGGUAUACAUAGCUUCUGCACAGCAAAAGAAACUAUCAUCAGAGUGAACAGGCAACCUACAAAAUAGGAGAAAAUUUUUGCGAUCUAUCCAUCUGACAAAAUUCUAAUAACCAGAAUCUAUAAGGAACUUAAACAAAUUUGCAAGAAAAAAACAAACAACCCCAUCAAAAAGUGGGUGAAGGAUAUGAACAGACACUUCUCAAAAGAAGACAUUUAUUUUCUCUUCUUGGUGCUUUGCCUUGCUUCACUGACUACCUGACAAAAACCAAUUCAGAUGCAUUCUUUUUUUGUUUUAUGGUGCAUAUUGACAAAAUAACCAAGACUUUUUAUUGCUUCUUCAAAACUACUUGAAAAAUCUGAUGGUGCUUUUUAAAAUUUGCAUUAGCGCUUUAUGGUACAAGACCACCCUGUUGCCUAUGUUUUCUGGCUGGAAGUGUUGGAUAUAUCUUGGAAGACUGAUGCAAGACAAAUGUCUACCCACAUUGACACUGUCCUUUGGAUCCUGGUGGCUGCUGCUGUUUUCAGAGUCUUCUUCCACUUUAAACAUACUCUAAAUGAUGUAUUUGUUCCAGGAAGCUAUCUUAUCUCUGAUUACUCUCUGCUGCCUGGCCUUCUGAUUGCUUCUCUUUCCAACUGCCAUUUUCCAGAUCAUCAUAUGGCAGUUAUCCAUUCUUGGUGCAUGGCCAGUCCAUUGAAAUUAUGACAGAAAACUCUGCAGUUGUCAACUGCGUGAAUGAUUUGCUUUAGCAUUGAGUAGUUUAGUCUCAUUCCCAUAUUUGUUAUGGGUUACUCUGUCUUGCAAUUUUAAAUUCAAAAAGCAUUGUUUCCAGCAUUGAGGAAACUUUUCAAGAAGCUUAAUGUUUUGGUUGCUUAGUGUACUUAGCUUCCUAGAGGUGUGUAGAAAUGUGUUCCUGGCUUAUACUUCAUGGGUCACGAGUAGAGUCACUAAAGUUUAGGAACAAAAAAUCAAAAGAUGUGGGUUGGUAGAGGAUGAGUGAAAAAAUAACAAAUAGGAGUGAGGAAUACUUAAGAGAGAGUACCGAAGAGAUGGAGAGGGAAAAAAAGUACUAACUACAAAGAACCUAGAGAGGUUAUCUUAAGAGGUUUUGCAGUAAGGGGAUAAUUCAUUAAGAAUAUUUCAAAGAUUAUAUCUGACAGGUGAGCCCUUGGGCCAAGAGCCCUUUGCAGAUUUGGGCUGUGUCUCUUCCCCCUUUCCCCACCCCCAUUCUUAUUUAUAUCCUUUGAAAUGUCAUGAGAAGAUUAUUUCCUUUACAACCAUUUUUUCCCCAAUUAGUCUAAUGCAGAGAUUUUUAAUAUAUGACUGGUGGAUUUACAAGUUAAGCACUGGUCCUUGAAUCCUCUAGAAUGGUUUGUAAAAUUUGUAUUUUAUCUUCAUGUUUCUCCUCCAGGGGGAAGUCCAAAAGUUAAUCAUAUUCUGAAAGGGAUCACUGACCAGAAAACAUUUCUGUUUUUCUUUUUUUCUUUCUUUCCUUUUUUUUUUUUUUGACAGAGUUUCACUCUUGUUGCCCAGGCUGGAAUGCAAUGACAUGAUCUUGGAUCACUGCAACCUCCACCUCCCAGGUUCAAGCGAUUCUUCUGUCUCAGCCUCCUGAGUAGCUGGGAUUACAGGCGCCCACCAUCACACUCAGCUAUGUUUUUUUUUUUUUUUUUUUGUAUUUUUAGUAGAGGUGGGCUUUCACUAUGUUGGUCAGGCUGGUCUCGAUCUCCUGACCUCAAAUGAUCCACCCACCUCGGCCUCCCAAAGUGCUGGGAUUACAGAUGUGAGCUACCGCUCCCGGCCCUGUUUUUUUUUUUUUUUUUUAAUUAAAAUUUUAGAAGAUCAACUAACAGUGGACCCCAUCCAUGGAAACCUGUCACUGAGUAACAUAUUCUCCAGAUAACAGUCAGCAGAGUCCUGGGAAUUAGGCUGAUGACAGUAGCUGGUCGCUGGGCUGAUGCUUCCAUCCUUUACCAUUUAGUCGUUUUGGAGCUUGAUCAGUGUUACCUUUUGUCUCUCAUCGUCUCAAAGGAGUCUUAAACCUUUGGAUGUCAUUUUCCAGUUUCUUGUGAACAAAACACCAGUGACUUGUUUUUUAUUUUUUUCCCUCUUUUCUUCUUUUUCACAUAGGCAAUUGAUAUCUGAGAUGCUUUUCAGACUUGAAUUACAGGUGCAGACCAUUUGUUGUAUUUAGGGUUUCUCUCCUGCAAGCUGGAAAAUAGAUCGUGUUUGCAUUUUUAGCAUUUUAAAAAUGCUAGUGCAUUAGCUGAUUUGCAAAUUAUUUUGUAACUACUUGAAUGUAAACAUUUUUCCAGGGUCAGUUUCAGGAACACAACUUUCAGUACAUACCCACCCUUAGAUGACUACAGUUAUCUUUAGGACUUUUGAUAAUGUUUACAGUUUCCUGCCUGAAAGAAUUUUACUGAUGUCAGGAAGUAUAUUCUGAUACAGCUUUUAGGUCCCCUGAUAACUCCCUGAGCAUAGCUACGUAAUCUCUCUGACAAAUGGUAAUUUGUCAGUCUGUGGCAGAAGCAGGAUUUUCAUCAGUCUGGCAAAAACUUCUGAGCUAAUAAGUUACUGGUUCUGAGUUUAUUCUCAAAUGGGUGAUAGCUGCCCAUUCCUCUAUUCUCUGAGUUCCUGAAGAGAAUCAGCAGAAACUAAAAGUAGGAAAAGAGAGGAGAUGAGAUUAGUGAUGAAAUGUAAUAAAUGGAAACUGUUAAACAGCCCUUGCCUAUCGAUAGUGGGGUUGGCUGAUGUGUCUGAGAAGGAAAAACCACAGCUUAAAAUGAGUACAGCCAGGCUGGGUGUGGUGGCUCAUGCCUGUAAUCCCAGCACUUUGGGUGGCCGAGGUGGGUGAAUCAUGAGGUCAGGAGUUCGAGACUAGCCUGACCAACAUGGUGAAACCCUGUCUCUACUAAAAAUACAAAAAUUAGCUGGGUGUGGUGGCGUGCACCUGUAACCCCAGUUACUCAGGAGGCUGAGGCAGGAGAAUCGCUUGAACCCAGGAGGCAAGGAGCCAAGAUCAUGCCACUGCACUCCAGCCUGGGCGACAGAGUGACACUCCAUCUCAAAAAAAAAAAAAAAAAAGGAAAAAAAAAGACUACAGCCAUAAGUAACCAUUUCACCAUGGGGGAAAAUUCUGUGUGUCCUUUACAUAGAUUUUAUUGUAGAAGUUAUUGCUCCAGAGAUUUAUAUCUUGCAUUUACUUAUUAUUUACUUAUUUCAUUUAUGGAAAGCAGUAUGAAAACCUAUCUACUGUAUAGAAUAUGUAAUUGUUUGGAGUAAAGUUUUAAAAAAUUUACUUUCAGACCCUGCUUGAUGCUCAUUAAUUCCUUGUUUUCAGAUUGCUUAAUACCCAUUUCCUAUUUCAUAUCUUAAAUUACUUCAAUUAUUAUUCAAAUUUGCCUAAUGGUAGUCAUUUUAUCCCCCAACAUAGAAUAGUCAUAUGGAUUUAUGUUUAUAUCUAUCUCUACCUCUUAGCAAAUAGCCAUAAGCCCAUAGUAAUAAAUGAUCCCCUUGAAAACCAUAAGUUCUUUUGUUUAUGUUUAUCAGUGCAGGGAUUAGGGCUACCAGUGAGUAAGGCCAGAGAAUUGUCCAGGUAAAAGAGGUUCUGAAGAUAACAAGGUUGAGAGAAGUGAGGAAGUCUGUGGAUAAGGGAAGCACACCAGGUUUAGGACCUUAACAAGGAGAUGGAGGAACACAGAAGAAAUAAAGAGCAAAGGAGCUCAGCCAGAUUAGCAUCUGGAGAGGCAGACAGAAAGAAUUCUGAGGCCUGGAAAACACACAUAGGUAAAGAUGAGUAACAAGUGUCAGAAAAGUGGCCAAGAGGGCCAGGUAGAAAAAAUCAGAACCAGACCCAGUGUCCGGACAGCAGAUUCAAUUAGAAAAUGUGCAGAAAAAAUAAAAGACCAUGUUAACAUGUAUUGUGAGCCUGACUAUGAUACGCUGUUUGCACUGGACCAGGAUGAAGUCAGCAUGAGGCAGUACUGAGCCCACAGGCAGGGAAAAUAGGAGAGGCAGAUGGAGCAGGAGGCCAGGCAGUGCCUGGCUCCACCUUUGGCAGAAUUUCAUCUGGACCUCGUUGGAUUGCUUAUCUUUGCAUUUUCUAGACAUCCUUUAUCUUUUUAACUUAUUGGUCAAUGGCAUAUAUAUAUUGCACCAUGCAGCUCAAGCAACCAACCCUUUUGUACUUUUUUAUUUAGAAAAAAAGUAAGACUCUGUUGGGAGGCUUUUACUGUCUGCUCUUUUCUGAUUCAUUUCAACUUUAUUUAAUCUAUACAAGACCAAAUAAAAUGCAGCAUUCUUGUCCCAAUUGUAAUAGAUCUUAUGUUGACACAUUGCUGCCAUUGUCCUGUGAAACGAGUAAAAGGAAUUGCCGUAAGAGGGUCUUUCUGUGCCAGUUUUUCCUUCUGAGUUUUUGUUGCUUUUGGAAACAUCCUCAUGUGACCUCCUUUACUGAUAAGAUUUUAACGGGCCAAGUGCAAAUCUAGGCAUUACUUUAGAAUUUGCAGUUUAGACAUUUACUGUUGAGUUGAGUAUACAUACUACAGGGUAUAGAGGUAAGUAAUGAGACUAUGUUCACAUUUUGAAAUAAGUGCUCUUCUGCCAGGGUUACACGAGGACACCUUCGUUUACCAGUUUGAUUGAUCUUCUAAGAAGGUUCAAAUGAGGAACAGCUAAUGCUACUGAUUCCUCUCUCACAGUGAUUGAAAAGGGAUUUCCAACAGUUCAAGUCAGAGUGAAGGAAUAGGAAAAUUUCAGGCAUAGGCAAGGAGCUGGUCAAUAGCAUGUUGCAAGAGUCUCGAGGAGCAAAAGUCUCUUAUUUACAUUCUGGUUUCAUCCACCAAAGAAUCAGGUUUUCUAUUAGAAUGAUACAAAAAAAUGGAUGAUAAUGAUACUGAUUGGAUACUCAGACAGAAAGAUGCUCCCUGGCAUGAGUGACUGUGGGUGGAGGUAGGUAUGAGAGGCUGGUGGUGGGCAGCCAUGUUAGCAGAGAGAGGUAAAAACAGUUGAUCAGGCGAGAAAGAUGAAGUUCUAAUGUUGUUGGAUCUUGGCUGAUUUUGAAACACUAAACAGUCCCUCCCAGCAUCUCCCUGUCAUCACUGCUUUGUUUUCCCCAGUCCCUUGCUUGUGGUUCUGGCUCUCUUGCCUCGAGUCAGCCUUUGGACCUGAGUUUUUUCCUUUGGCUUUUGGUUGGAGGACAUGAUGACCUCACAGAUGGUCUUCAUAAAUCAGCCACUCACUGUGCUCCCAGGAAUCUUUGAUUCUACUCUCUAGUUCGUCUCCUUGACUGUGCCCUGAAACCUGGCUCACUCUAUUAAGUCAUGCUGGAUAUUGUGGGGUCAUUUUCCACCCCUCAUGCAUGUCCCUGACCCACUUGUUUUCUCUGAAAGUCGAUUUUCAUUUUCUGUAACUCUAUGUCUUUGCUCUUCUCCCUCUGCCCCAUAGCUGUCAACCCAGCUGCAUGCAGCCAACCCAAACCCUUUGUAAUUUUUCUCUUCAGUGAUUCACAAUAUAUGUCCUCUCUGACUUGGGAGCAAAUUAAUGUUAAGGAUUUUGCACUUAAAAUUUAAUAUAGCAUCAUUGGCUCUGAGUCGAGGAGUGGGUAUUAUGCCAAAAUACUUAUUGUCCCCAUGUUGUGUCUAGCAAGUUGGGAAUUCUGAUAUAUGGCUAUUUUAAACAAAAGUCCAAAUGAACUUUAGAAUUGGCUUGAGAAGGAAGAGAGAAAGAAUUUUAAAUUAAAGCAAAAGAGUCUUUUGUUUUCUACCCCAGUUAUACUGAGAUGACAUAGUUUGGAUGUUUGUGCCCUCCAAAUCUCAUGUUGAAAUGUAAUCCCCUGUGUUGGAGAUGGGACCUGGUGGGAGGUGUUUGGGUCAUGGGGGUGGAUUCCUCAUGAAUAGCUUGGUACUGUCCUUGCAAUAAUGAGUGAGUUCUCACUCUGAGUUCAUGUGAGAUCUGUCUCUUUAAAAGACCGUGACACCUCCCCCUACUCUCUCUCUUGCUCCCACUCUUACCACAUGAUGCACCUGCUUCCCCGUUUUCUUCUGCCGUGGGAGUUCCAUAUGCACCUAACCCUGGAGCUCCCAAAUUUAUAAAACAAUUGCUAAUAGACAUAAGAAAUGAGAUAGACAGCAACACAAUUUGAGUAUUGAAGGGGGACUUCAAUACUCCACCGACAGCUCUAGAUAGGUCAUCAAGACAGAAAGUCAAAAAAGAAACAAUGGAUUUAAACUAUACCCUGGAACAAAUUGACAAUCUACCAUGUUUGGAAGUUUCCUGAGGCUUCACCAGAAGCAGAUGCCAACACCACACUUCCUGUACGGACUGCAAAAAUGUGAGCCAAAUUAAAACCACUUUUCUUUAUAAAUUAUCCAGUCUCAGCUAUUCCUUUACAGCAAUGCAAGAAUGGGUUAACACAUAAGUCUUAUGAGUUAACUGAUUUGUGACCCUCCAAAUACAAUAAAUAACAAAUGAAAUAUCUAACCAUUGGAAGCCCUCUUUGUGGCUCUGCAGUCAGUUGGAUGGAGGCUCACAGGGGCUAUAACUACCUCAUGAGAUCAGCAGGUUAUAAUCCCUCCUAGGAUUAUGUAACACACUAUGCAGAUAUUUAUAAUUAUAUUGUGAAGGAGAAAUUAGAUGUGCAGGUAUACAUUUUGAAGUAGGAGGAAAUGAAAAGGGACAGUAAGAGUAAAAGGUUUUGCUGUGAUUCUGUUUGGUAAAACCUCUUUUGAACAAAGAUUUCCUCAAAGAAAUGAGAGCAAAAUAUAAUCAGCUUGAGGGCUCUGAGUAUAGCAUUGUGUCAUAUGGAUCAAAAGGAAGCCUAAGCUUUUGAUCCCUUUUCUCAGGUGGGGAAUGGGAUUUAGAGGUAUGUCAGUAUCUACAAAUUCAGUUCUAAGAUGUUGAGAAGAAGCUUUGAAGCCAAUAAAAAGCAUAAGGCAGGAUUUCAUUAAAAAUAGUUAUUGGGGGAACAUUGAGCAGUGGUGUGGAAUAUUGGGCUAGCGCUGGAAUAUGGGAUUAUGCACAUACCCUGAGAUGCUUCUGCACCCAGCCACACCACAAGCUCUGAAACAGCAUGCCUGAAAUUCCAUUGCUGCGGACCUCAAGCAGUGACUUCAUGACUUUGGGAGCACUGGCAAAAUCCGGUGCCUUGAUGAGCCAUUGGGAAUGAUGGCUGCAAUCUUAACAGUUAAGUCUUUAGUCAGAGAUGAAUGAACUCAUUUAAUACAAAGCUUUUUCAAAAUCCACAGGGGUGAUUAUGUUGACAGUCAUAACUAAAAAUAGUAAUCCCUAAAAGUCUCAUCCCAUAUUUACAUUGCAUUUAAAGGACUAUAAAUUUGGCAUGGUGAUUACGUCCUAUUGUGUCCAACACUUGGCAUUUGAAUUACUAAGGACCCAUAACUUAACCCUCAAUACUUUUGAGAUAGAAUUUAUAUAAAUGAUCAAUGCUUUAUUAAAGGUAAUAAUGAUAGUGUCUUUACCAUUUUCCAGUUGAUGGAGCACUUUUUCAUAUAUUACUUUUUGAAAGAAAUAGUUUAUUUAUAAACUAAAAAAAAAAAAAGGAUGGUGUUCAGCAGUUGUGGUAUAAAUUGUCUCCCCCAAAAUUCAGAUUUUGAAAUCCUAUCCUCUCAGAAUGUGACAUUAUUUGGCAAUAGGGUUGUUGCAGAUGUAAAUAACUUGAGAUGCAGUCAUUAGGGUGGGACCAAUGCCAGUAUGACUGAAGUCCUUAUAAAAAGAGGAGAUUUGGACACAGGCAUGCACACAGGGAGAACGGCACAUGAACAUGAAGGCAGAGAUCGGGUGAUGUGACUACAAGCAGAGGACCGCCAAAGCUUGCCAGCCAACCAUUAGAAGCAAGGAGAGAGGCAUGAACAGAUUCUUCUUCACAGCCUUCAGAAGGAAGCAACCUGGCUGACAACUUGAUCUUGGACUUCUACCCUCCAGAGCUGUGAAUCAAUACAUUUGUGUUUGUGGUAUUUUGUUAUGGGAGCCCAAGCUAACUAAUACAGCAGUCAUCAACACAUCCAUGUUAUUUGUGAUUGUUCUGCAGCCUUGAGUGUUACCUUUUUUUUCUCCCACUUUUCCCUGAAACCUUCUGAAAUUGGAUGUUGGUUUCCUUAGAGAAGGUGUGUAUGAUGGUAAGUUUGGGGGAGGCCUGGGUAAGGAGGGGCAGGAUAAGGGGUGUUUUAGGGUGAAUGCCUGAGCCAGCAGAGGAUGGUGAAUGGUGGCCUGGAGAGAAGAAGCCAGAGAGAAAAAGACAGUCCAUGCAAAUGGACCCCAAAAGUGAACAGGAGUAGCUAUUUUUAUAUCAGACAAAACAAACUUUAAGGCAACAGUGGUUAAAAAAGACAAAGAGGGAAAUUAUGUAAUGGUAAAAGGCCUUGUCCAACAGGAAAAUAUCACAAUCCUAAACAUAUAUGCACCUAACCCUGGAGUUCCCAAAUUUAUAAAACAAUUACUAAUAGACCUAAGAAAUGAGAUAGCAACACAAUAAUAGUGGGGGACUUCAACACUCCACUGACAGCACUAGACAGGUCAUCAAGACAGAAAGUCAACAAAGAAACAGUGGAUUUACACUAUACCCUGGAACAAAUGGACUUAACAGAUAUAUACAGAACAUUCUACCCAACAACCAUGGAAUAUACAUUCUAUCAACAGCACAAGGAGCUUUCUCCAAGAAAGACCAUUUGAUAGGCCACAAAACAAGCCCCAAUAUAUUUGAGAAAAUUGAAAUUAUAUCAAGCAUUUUCUCAGACCACAGUGGAAUAAAACCAGAAAUCAACCCCAUAAGGAAUCUCCCUUGCACCAAGUCUCUUUUUUCCCUCACUGCUUCCAGAGCCAUCGCUCUAAAAUAUGUAUCAUUUCACUUAUUUGCUCAGGGCUUCAGUGGCUGCCCAGAACAUGCAGGAUUAUGCUGAAAUUCCUUGGCAUGUCCCCCACUUCAUUAUUGGCCUACUUUUCGUUUUUUUCUUUUUUUUUUUUUGAGGUUUAUUGAAGUAUGACUGACAAAUAAAAAUAUUAUCUAUUCAAGGUGUACAAUGUGCUAUUUGGAGAUAUAUAUAUAUAUAUAUAUAUAUAUAUAUAUAUAUAUAUACACACACAGUGGCCAGAUACAGAAAAAUAAAUACUGCACGAUCUCACUUACAUGUGGAAUCUAAAAAAGUCAAACUUACAGAAACAAAGAGAAGGCUGAUUUUCCAAUUUUAUAACCUGCCUAGUGUUUUCUCUUGAGCUCUAGCCAUGAGGAACUAUCAACUAAUUCGCUUCCUGAAUGUGUUGUGCCCUUCUGCGUGGGUGUUCAAUUCCACUUGCUUUUUCCGCUUUUUGCAAUGCUAUUUCUUCUUUGCUUUUUUGCUGAAGUUCUUUUUGCUUUUUUGCUUUUAAGGCACCCCAAAUAUGGCAUUUCCCUUUUACUUCUCGCUGGGCAUAUAACAGUACGGAAGACAGCCGAUAAUUUAGUGGAUGAUAUAUGCAUCAAACAAACCAUCAUAAAUCAUUACUUUAUUUUCAUUAUUUUAAGGACUUUGGAGGGGGGAGUGUCCAACAGGUGGAACAUACCUGAAAUGAUGAAAGUGAGGCUACUUCUCUGAAGAAGUGCUAUUUAAGGCAAAAUGUAAAGGCUAUGUAGGAGUUCUCCAUGCAGAGAGUGGGCAAAAUGGCCUUCUGGCAAAGGAAAUAGUGUAUAUGAAGACCCCAAGAGAGGAAGAAGCUUCCUUUCCUGGACUCAUGUGGUAUCUUGAACAUGUACAUAGGUGAAAGCCUUGUAUCGCUAUAAUAAUUUUCUGGCUGUGGGUCUUUUAAGUGCAGAAUGUAGGUAAGUCCUAUUCAUACUCAUAUUCCCAGAAUCCUGCACAGUACUCAUGCACACACAAAAUUGGCACUUACUUUAAUGUUUGUGAAUAAUGGAUUUAAUGAAAUAAUGACUUGGAUAGAUGGAUGAAUAGAUGGGUUCAAUGUGUUUAAAAGAUGCUGUAAAUGGGUAUCAUGAAGUUAACAAACAAAACCAAGGUGAUGAGUAUCAGCAGAAGUAAAUGACACAAUCCACCAGAUGAACCAGGGUCAUAUUCAGGGUCAAGAAUGCAGGUAGAAAUCUUGACAUUGGCAAAUCCAUGCAAGGAUUGAGUCAAGAAUCAGGAAACUUUCUUGCAGGAAACUGAGUCUAGGAAUAACACUGAAACUAAAUCUUCUUUAGAUUGUUGGUCUAUACAAUAGAACAAUCAGAGAAUAUAAUUAGACUGGAAGAGAGUUGGCAAAUUAUGAUUCAUAAGUCAAAUCCAGCCUGCUGCUUAGUUUUGUAAAUAAAGUUUUAUUUUUUAAUUUUGAGACAGAGUUUUGCUCUGUUGCCCAGGCUGGAGUGCAAUGGCACGAUCUUGGCUCACUGCAACCUCUGCCUUCCCGGUUCAAGCAAUUCUCCUGCCUCUGCCUCCCAAGUAGCUGGGAUUACAGGUGCCUGCCACCACACCCAGCUAACUUUUGUAUUUUUAGUAGAGAUAGGGUUUCACCAUGUUGGCCAGGCUGGUCUCGAGCUCCUGAUCUCAGGUGAUCUGCCUGCCUCAGCCUCCCAAAGUGCUGGGAUUAUAGGCCUGAGUCACUGCGCCCAGCCAUAAAGUUUUGUUAAAAGACAGCCAGACUCAUUUGUUUGUCAUUUGGCUGGGGCUGCUUUCAUGCUAUAAUGCUAGAGUUGAGUGUUUGCUAUAGAGACCGCAUGGCUUGAAAAACAUAAAAUACUUACUGUCUGGACCUUUACAGAAAAGGUUUGCUGGCUGUUGGUCUGGAACAUCAGCUGCUUGCUCAAUGGUAUUAUUGAGUGCUACUAAGUAUUAGGCACUGUUCUAAAUUCUUCACAUGUUAACUCAUUUAGACCUUGUAACAAUCCUGUGAAGUAGGGGUUAUUAUUAUCUCCAUUUGAUGGAAGAGAAACUCCAGGCACAGAAAAGUUAAAUUAUUUCCCUAGGAACGUACUGCCAAUGAGCUGUGGCCUUAGCCACUGUGCUAUACUGCCUCUAUAUAGAAGCAUCCUGUUUUUUGUUGUUGUUGUUGUUGAAUGGGUAUAACAGGUGGGAACCUCUUAGAGAGAUGAAAGUCACACCAUCACUCUCUUAAAUAUAAGCUGAAGACUGGAUGGCUCAUAUAUUCUUGCUGCUCUCCCAGAGGUUAAUCUGAAAAUUCUUGGGAAGACAUAAAUAGAAUUUAAUGACCAUUUGUUUCUUUAUCCAGGACUGAUAGCCAUGCAUGUAAGAUAUCAUUUACUUCUUGCUUAACACACUUUCACAAAGAGAAUUGUGUUAUUUUCCUAAAUCAGUAAGGUAUAAGCUAUAGUCAGGCAUAGUGGCUUUCCAUCCAAUUAAAUAUAUGUUAAAGGAGUCGAAGCUGGGAAUUUUUAACAUUGAGUAAAUCAGUGAAGACAGCAUAGGUUGCAAGUCUUCAAGAAUUUUACCAAAUUUUCUCUUGUGAUAAUAUGAACCUGUCUAGAGAAAAUCUAAAGAUUUGGACUGGGAGUUAAUACUAGCAGUCAUGAUUAUAAUCAUAUUAUACAUUUUUGUAGAUCUUAGGACUUGAUAAAAAAGAUUUAAUAAGUGGUACAUAAUCUGGAGUAUCCAUUUUUUUUGGAGAGAAAAUAAAGGAGAGAUAGCUUACAUCUCACAAAUACUUCAAGGUCAUCAUUUCUCCCUGUCUUGCUAGAACAGGAAAAUAAGGGACAAGACAAAUAGCUGCCAGAGCUCUGAUUGUCUCCUGCUCUAUUGGAAACAGGACAUGAAGGCUAAGCUGACAUUGAUAGAGACAUGUUUUGACGUGUUGGCACAGUAUAAUAGUGAUCAUUGCCACAGCCGGGAUGUGUUCUUGUACAAUCUUUCUUGUAACAGGAACAUUAGCUUCUACUGGCAGAAUCUUUUCUUCCUUUGAUGCGUGUCUUGUUAUGUGACUCUUUCAGCUGGGUCAAGUGGUCCCCUGGUUCCUCUGUAGAUGGAGGUGAGAAGGAGACAGCCAUCUGUUUGGAUGGCUUGGAGAUUCACCUGCCUGAAGGGAGGGAGUUUGGAACAGAUGAUGGCUUUCAGACUUGGGUCCAGGAUCCCCGCCUAGAGUGACUGAUCAGGUCUGUAAUGCCAAGGGUCAUUUCUUCUGCAUAUUUUGGACAGCAGCUAUUGAACUGCUGGGCUCCCAGUCACUUCUACCUAAUUGGGGAAAGGGGGCCACCUGCUCAGUAUCCCCAAAAUAGCACCAGUCUCCACCUUUCCCUCUUAGUCUCACCAUCCCUCUGAGUCUUAGGGCUCACAGCCUACACUGCCACAGAGGUUCAAGUCUGUAGGCUUCCACAUGGCUAAUGUGAUUUUAUUGCUAAGUCCAGGAGGAGUACUUGCAGAGCAUGAUACAUGUGUCAUCUGAGGGAUUCAGAGUUAUUCAAAAAUACUUCAUAUUAUGAGUAGGAAAUUUAAACAACUUUAUUGAAAAAUGGGCCAUAUCAUACACUUUUCAGAGAUUCUUCUGUGUGACUAUAGAAUGGCACCAUGAGAGCAUCACCUGUUUUCUGUUUAUGCUAUUUACCAUGUCAGGUUAUUUUUUACUGCCAUAUAUAUUUAAUUUUGACAGUGAACAGAUAUACUAAAAAUAGAAUUACAGCGUAUCAUUUUAAUUACGGCCAUUUCAGUUGCUCAUCAACAUAACAAUGAAAAAUGGAAGGGUUACCACAACAUUGCUGAAUCGCCAUCUCUUAAUAGCUUUCUGUGAGUGUAGCAUGUACUACCAGAUAAUUAUGAAGAUUAACUCUUGCAGAUAGGGUGCCUGUACCUAUUUUUAAUAAUUUGUACGCACUGAGGAAGGAUAAAGGGUUGGAAAUACAAGAAUCUUAAUCUUAAUUAUUUUACCCCAUCUACCCUUUUAUCCGUAUUGAACUGUUGGGUAUUUAGUUUGCUUUUUUUACUUUUCCCUUUUCCUUAAUUUUUUGUUAUGGUGGAGGAGAGACUGGGGAUAGCAAAGAAAGGAAGCAAUUAAAUUUCUGUAAGAGUCACAGACAACCCUCUUUAGAACAAAGUAAAGUCCAUAAGAAUGAGUUUCCAUAUCUCUAAAACUCCACAUAGCUUAUUUAAUACUGCACAGAAGGCGGGUUAUUGAUCUGUGUGUAGAGUUGUUGGCAGAGAGGGAGAGUAGUAUAUUCCAGGAGCUUCUCUCAGUCUGCAGCAUUACUCUAAGCAGGAAAAGACCCAUGAUUCCCUGUAGUGUCUUCAGCUGCCUCUAUUAAUCCAUUGUCAAAAUCAUGGCAACAGGACACAAGGCAAAUAGCAGUUUUGUAUCAUCUUGCUUAUGAAUAUGAUCAUGAGUAAGUGCUAGUAGUCUCCCCUUAUGCAACUGGGUUUUAUAAGCAAUAGACCAGAUGUAUAUGCCCUUACAUUAUAAAUGUACCUUUAAAAGUCUGAUGUCUAAAUCAUGAUAAGGAAUCAUUUCCAAUGUAUAAAACUUAAAAUUUCCAGAACAGAGAGCAAUAUUUAUUUCUACCAGCUUUCUCUCCAUUAAAUAAUUGUUUCAAUAUCAGGAUGUGAUUGGAGCUUGAAGAAGCUUCUCUUGGGAUAUCUAAGAAUGGAAUCCAUUUUGAUUAAAUUUACUGGUAGUUGAGUCAGUAUGUAAAUGGCAUCAAAUAACCAACUGGUCAAUCUCCUUGAAUGAAUCAACUAGCCAAAGUCUAAGUAACAAUGGCUUAGGAACAGAUCCAGAUUGUGUGGGGUCUGAGGCUGUUAUGAUUUGGGGGCUUUCUCUGAGAAAAAGAAUACAUAGUUGCAUAUGCUACAUUUGGUAUGAAAAUGAAUAUUUAUUUAGAAUGAGAAAUCACAAGUUAUGCAUUAAAAAGUAUACAGAUAUGAAAUCAUCACAAAAUCCUGAAAAAUAACAAAAUAUUUUUAUUAACUUUCUGAUAUACUUUUGUAAUUGCUACAUUUUUAGUUGCUUCUUCAAAUGACAAAAAAUUUUAAAUAUAAUUUUCAAUGGAGAUAAUAGAUAAUAGUCUUUCCUUUAUCAUGUGGAUUCAAAAUUGAUUUAUGUUACUGAUGGUUUGGCAACAUUUAUUUCAGCUUAGCAACCAUCUAUUGGUAAUGUUAUGCAAAUGUUUAGGAUUCUUGUCAAACUGCAAGAAAUCUCUUUAAACUUUGCUUUAUAUAUAAACUUUAUAUUGUAGGCAUUUUAAGUUAUCUUAGGCAGUAUCUAUUCUGAAAUGUUAUUUGAUCUGACAACACUCAUUAAACAGUGUGGUCGACAUUCUCAUGCAAAUUUUGUUUUUCUUUACUAAGACAUUAAUCUGCCUUUUACUUUUUUAUUUUUGGUUUGGAACAGUCCUGGUGUAAUUCCUUUUCUCAUGUUCAUGAUACUGAUCUGCAAGCUUUAGUUUCCAUUGUGAUAUAAUAAGAAUUUUGGUGAUACUGAAACUUCUGCCAAUCUUCUCUUUCGGUUUACAUUUUGGCUUUUUUCUUCUUCUCACAUUCGAAUGUUAGUAUUAUCCAUAAUUCUGAAAAAUUAAAAUGAAUCUGAAAUUAACGCAUAAACAAGAGAAGUUCAGUGCAUCUAAAAUUGCUGCUAUAUUUUGUUCAGCUAAAAGUGUUGUAAUCAAAUUAAUCUUAUACUACACACAAUGACUUAUUAAUGAAUAUUUUUCACUUGUUUAUUCAGUCUAUUUCACUGCAUUGGUAAUAAUAUUGUGUGUUAUUUCAUCUAGAACCACUAGACUUUAUCAGAACAACAUGUGUUGGAUAUUCUAGGAUACAAUCCACUGUCCUGGGAUGCAUAAAAUAUGUAACAGCUAUAGAUUUGUGACUUACAAAUACAAAAAUUCUGGUAAAUAUCACAUAAAGAAAGGAUUCUCAUACAAAUGGGGAAAAUAUGUGGUGCAUUUAUAUUUGUGUAUGUUGCAUAAUCACGUGCAUUCCUGACAGGAGGAAACUUCAAUUUUGAUCAUGCAUCAGUGAGAACAGAAUCUUCUAUGCAAAAUGUUACACAAAUUAGCUCUUGGCUUCCUACAUUUCAAACCUUAUUUCCCCUUCACAAUCCACAUAGUUUUGGUGCUGGAUAAACUCUAGACCAUGUUAACAUCACAGUAUAACUUCUGGCCAGGCAUUUCUGAUAAAAAUCCCAGGUAAGUUGACAGGGUGGGCUGUAGAAACAUUUCUGGAAGUCAUUCCUACACUGAAUGGCUGGUCACAACUUAAUAGAAAUGCCUGGAAGCUACAGACACAUGUCCUGUUAAACCCCAACUCAGUAUAUCCCCAGCUCAGCUUCUUGUUAGCCUAAAACGCAAAUGAUUCAUGAUUGCACCAAAGUUACCCUACAUAGGAGAAAAUGUGACAGAGGAAAUCAGAGCAUAAAGAGACGGCAGUCUAAACCACUGUAGUUUAACUGUCUUUCAUUUGGAAAUUUACAAAAUUAUAUGAUAGUAUCAAGCAUGGCUAGAUCUCCUUAUGGGGAACUGUAAGGUGCAAGACCCAUGAAGCUCAUAGUACACCUUGCUCUGGGGGUAGAUCUCUCUCUUUCUCUCUCUCUAUUUCUUUCUUUCUUUCCUUUUCCCCUCUUAAGUUCACUUUGCAAUGGCCAGGGAGUGAUUUCAUCCCUUCAAUGUGAGAGACAACACAAACUUAUUUUGAGACAGGAAGGCUGUUGGGGUGAUCAGACCCAACACCAGGUUGUGGGGGCGAUGAAGUCUGGUGGAGUCAAAGGAUUGAGAAAAAGACAUUUUGAGAGAGAAAAGUGGGACCAGGGGGCCAUCGCAAUUGUGGAGGCUGUGAAGGCCCCGAGCUCUGGGAGCCCACGCUAUUUAUUGGUAGUCCAGCAGAGAAACAGAUGGUGAGAAUGUGGAGGUCAAAAAGGGCAGGCACAUGAUCUACAGCUGUGAUGGUUUAGCAUUUAUAAGGAACAUGUUCUGCUACUUGAGAUAAUGGGAAUACAAUUGAUGUAGGAGUCUAGGAGGGCCAGAAGCAAGGAGCCAGCAAGUCUAGACACAUUCCAGAGGACAUUAUGUCAGACAUGCAAGCCCUGGCUCAGUAUUUUUCCCAACACUCAGCUUUUCCCCAACAUGCACCCUUUCUCUUUUUUGUAAAAGAGAAGGUAUCAUUAUUACUAGCUAUCAUUAUUACUAGCAUAAAAGGUGGCCUUUUAAUUGAGCAAGGCAAUUGCAGGCUGUGCAGCCGUUAAUUGCCAGUUGGUGAUCCAGAUUCAUUUUUCUUACCCCUUAUGCGAACUGGAGUUGCUCUGGUUUGAAUGCUUCCCACAUACCUCCCCUUUCCCUUUUACAAGAGGACCCUUAAUCCUAGGGUUGCAGAAGGAUGAAGGUCCAUCUUCUGUAACUUCUUCAUGCUGAAUAGAGGUGAUGAUAUUCCUGCCUAACUAUUAGGGUCUCCUGUAUUCAGGGUAGACAGAAGCUGAGUCAGAAUGCAUUGGUCCAUUAAGCAUCAUGACUCCAGUCGGUCCUCGUUCCAUCUUUGCAUUCAGAUUCAACUGGCUCACGGCUUGUACUGGGGGAACCCGGUCCAUAGUUGGGAUCCAUGGCUCCCUCCAGUCUCCCGUUCCAUGUCGUACACAUCUUGAGGACAUCCACAUGAUUCAUUUGUCUCCUGCAAAAACACAAGCAUACCCUCACCCCCACGUUAGUAAAUCUACUGAAACAGAAGCAAAAACUUUUGUGGCUGUAGCCGGGAGGGUACUGAUAUUGAAAAACAGGCCCCUUCUAACAGAAGACACAGGAAAACAAAUCGAGGCUUUUCAAACCUUCAAUUUGUACUGUACAGGUGGGUCCACUAGAUGCUGUGGCUCAUGAUAGAUCUUCAGAUGUUUGGUGGGCACCCACACAGGCACCUGAUCAUCACCUGGAGAGACACAAGCAAAUCCUCUUCCACAUAUAAUUAUCUUUCCUUUUUUCCAGCUCUUUGUAUGUGACCAUAUCUUUUUCUAAGGCCUGCGGCAUUUAGAUGAGUUAAAGAAUGUAAUGUUUGUGCAUCAGCAAAGGUGCAGACACCAAAGCAUCUGCCCUUUGAUUAAGUUUAGUUAAAGGACCAAAAGGUCCUGUUGGAGAGAAAAGAAAGAGCAUUUUUAUCCCUACCUCCCUCCCCUCUAUUCCUUUUAUAUUUGCUCUUUGAGCCAUAGCUAAUUUCCGUAAUUCAGAAUGUUCUUAUCUGUCUCUGCAAAUCUCUGGUAGUCUUUGCUAGUCUCUACUUUUGUAUCUCUUUAGGGCACUGAUCAGUACUUCUCUAGGGCACUGACCUUAUAUUGCUAGUAUUCAUCUAUCCCUAUCUGUCCCUGUGGUACCUGUUAGUUCCUGCAAGUCUCUAUCUCUCUAUUUGUCUCUAUCUCUCUAUUUAAAUAAUCUCUAUCUUUCUAUUUAUCUCUAUCUCUCUAUAUCUUUAUCUCUAUCUCUAUGUAUCUCUAUCUCUAUUUAUAUCUAUGUCUAUUUAUCUCUAUCUCUCUAUCUCCAUCUCUAUCUCUAUCUCUAUCCAUUUAUCUCUAUCUCUCUAUCUCUAUCUAUCUCUAUCUCCCUUAUCUCUGCUUACUUAGUUCUACUUACUUAGCUCUACUUACUUACUUAGCUCUACUUACUUACUUAGCUCUACUUAUUUACUUAACUCUACUUAUUUACUUAACUCUACUUUCUUACUUAGGUCUACUUACUUUCCUGGAAACCUUUUUUAUGACCCUGGGUAGAGCUCAGAAAUCCACUCUUUAAGCUUUGGUAAGAGACAAAACAGGGACCCCGGACCCGGCACCAGAUUGAAGGAAACAGGAAGUGUUCUCCCCUCCCCAAAACAGGAAAACCAGAGUUUGGCCCUUGCAAAUUUCCACUCCACAUCAGCGUCAUCCUCAAUUUCCUGGAAUGAAUUGUUGAUCGUAGCAAUUAACAUAUUUAGCAAAACAAUGACCGUUGUAACAUUAUAGACUCCAUAAAGAACACAACCAAUGUUUUCAAUGAAUUUGUGGUUAUAGUUGAUGACCACUGAUUUUACUUCAGAAAGUCCAAAUAUAGCCCAGAACAGUGUCUUAAAACUCUGUUGUGAAGGUUUCAUUUUGUUUUACACCAAGGUAGUAGGAGUAGAGGUUGAACAUUCCCAUCAUAAAGGCCACAAACACCACAAUGAACACAUUCAGCGCAUAUCAUGCCUGUGUGCUCAUUAAAUCUGUUUUUCUCUAGCAGAGGCAGGUUAACCAUGAAACUGAAGCUUCAAGAUAACUUUACUUGCCCUAUGCAAAGCAGCCCAUGAUUUAUUUUUUCUGGGGACUACUGCCAACCAGGCCUGUGUGUCAAUCUGUAAGCAUCCAACAGCAGGUCUACUGUACAAAUAGGUCUUUUGUCAAACACUUAUUAACCCAAUAUACAGCCCUUCCUGUUGGAUUAGUACUACCAAAGCCUCCUGUUCUUUUCACAGUGCUGCUUCCCAGCUUUAUGUCAACAACUGAGCAAUUCUUUCUCCUAGGGAAGCAGACCAUGGAGUAGAGGAACUAAUAAUGAAUUGAAUUUCUCCGGUAUAAUCAGAGUCAAUUAUUUCCAUAUGUACAGUGACACCUUUCAAAUUUAGACUACACCUUCCUAGUAAUAGACCAACUGUUCCUGAGGGUAAGGGUCCCCUGACUCCCAUAGGGACCGUUUUUGGUGGCUCCCCAGGAAGUAAGGGUAUGGGAAUUGUGUGCAAAAGUCUACAGCAACACUGCCUGCUGUGGUGGGGGACAAUUGUUGUACGUUUGUAAGGGCACUGGCUGUGCCAGAAAUGCCUGAGUUUAUUGAGGUGCUCUCUGAAUAAACAAGCCUCAGAUUCCACUGGGUCUUAGUACUACCAAUUGCUCCAGGUUUUAAUGUUGUAACUAUAGGAGUGGUAAGUUUUGUAGCUAAUUCAUUUUCUCGCCCAUUAAGGGGAGAGAGAGGAGGUGGCCAUUCACUUAAUCCAGCAGUUGGAGCUGAGGGGAUAGUAAAACAUACUUUUUUGUUUCCCUUUUUUUUCUUUAAUUUCCUCCAGUUUCUGUUCCUCACAUUCAGAAUCUGAAGUUAGUUUUUUACACUUGUCCUCCACUUCCUCAUCUGAAUCUGCCUCAUCAUCUGUUUGAAAUGGCUCAAGAGCUGCUUUUAUUAGCGCCCACAUGGACCAAACUGAGACUGGAAUUUUUGCUCCAUCCUUAUAUGCUUUUUAAAAAUCUCUGCCAAUUCUCUCCCAUUCAUCCAACUCCAUAGUCCCUUGUUCUGGGAACCAUGGGCAAAACUGCUUUACUGCACUAAAGAGUGAUAACAAAUUCUGAGUACUAACUUUCACUCCCCUUAUUCGUAAUAAAUGCCUUAAGAAAUUUAAAUAAGCAGAAUGUCUGCUUUCACUUUGUCCCAUUGUUACCCUGGUUCUUCUGAGAGCUCAUCUUUCCCGCUGAGCUUCUUUUAGAUGUCCUUGGGUGUCCUUUGACGAAGGAUCCUCUGCUUUCACACGCUCUAGUGUUCCUUUACUGGGGUCUUUGUCUCCUCACUUUGGGCGGCCAGGAAUGUUGGGGUGAUCAGACCCAACACCAGGUCGUGGGGGUGACAAAGUCUAGUGGAGUCAAAGGAUUGAGAAAAAGACAGUUUGAAAAAGAAAAGUGGGACCAGGGGGCCAUUGCGAUUGUGGAGGCUGUGAAGGCCCUGAGCUCUGGGAGCCUACACUAUUUAUUGGUAAUCCAACAGAGAAACAAGUGAUGAGAAUGUGGAGGUCAAAAGGGCAGGCACAUGAUCUACAGCUGUGAUGGUUUAGCAUUUAUAAGGAACAUGUUCUGCUACUUGAGAUAAUGGAGAGCAGGUUCUUUUAACCCAAGAUACAAUUGAUCCUGGGAGAGCAAGGAACAAGGAGCUAGCAAGUCUAGACACAUUCAGAGGACAUGUCAGACAUACAAGCCCUGCCUCAGUAUUUUUCCCAACACUCAGCUUUUUCCCAACAGAAGGCCAUGGAUCAAUGGAACAAUGAUCUAUAUAUGGCACAGGCUUGACAUUUCUCAUGUUUUUAAGGGGCAGCAAUUCUCAUUGCUAAGUAACCUGUAAUUGUGCUCAUUGGCUUUUUCUACCAUUUUCUGUUGAAAAUAAGGCAAAUACUUCCACCUUAGGAAAGUGGUGAAACAGCUAGGUUAAAUAGAUUUUCUAAGUUGAAACAGUGUCUUAAUGGCUUCAAUAUUUGGGAAAUGCUCUGUUAAAUAGUUGUAAUUAAUAUAAGACUUCCCAGAGUCUUUGAGAUGUCAAUGUGAACAUCAAAGAUGCUUUAAGAAGGGAUUAGGGCAUGCAACAUUUCCUAAACUUAUUUGAUCAAGAAUUUCUUUUCUUUUUAUUUAAUCCUCAGGAUCUCCUGUGGACCUGACCUAGUGGAGAAAUACAAAGCUUUUAUUUCCAUUAGCCAGUAGCAGGUGAGGAGUCAGGACUAAUAUUCCUGCCUGAGUCAGCUGAGAUUACACAUUUAAUAAACACUUAUGGUGCAAUGACAAUAUAGUUUUCAAUAAAACUCUGUUCUUAAUAAAACCAUAAUUAUUCACGAGUUUGUGAUUACUAACAUUUAUAUAGAUUUUUUUAAAUGUAAUUUAACUUAAAGUUCUAGAAUACAAGUGCAGGACGUGUAGGUUAGUUACAUAGGUAAAUGUGUGCCAUGGUGGCUUCCUGCACCUAUCAACCCAUUACCUAGGCAUUAAGCCCAACAAAUAUUAGCUAUUUACCCUGAAGCUCUCCCUCCCUCCACCCUCACAACAAGCCCCAGUGUGUGUUGUUCCUCUCCCUGUGUUUAUGCAUUCUCACUGUACAGCUCCCACUUGUAAGUGAAAAAACACAGUGUUUGGUUUUCUGUUCCUGUGUUAGUUUGCUGAGGAUAAUGGCUUCCAGUUCCAUCUGUGUCUCUGCAAAGGAUGUGAUCUAAUUCUUUUUUAUGGCUGCAUAGUAUUCCAUGGUAUAUAUGUGCCACAUUUUCUUUAUCCAGUCUAUCAUUGAUGGGCAUUUGAGUUGAUUCUACAUAGAUUUUAAAAUAGAUCUCAUUCAGAGAGGGUUACAAUGAAUUGAAGAAACUCAAGACACAAAAUGACCAUCUUUCUGAUUCACAUUGAUUCUGGAUUAUAAGCUUUUGCAAAAAUCUUAGACAUUUGUUCCUGCUGUGAUCAAGAUGCCUUAUAAGGGCUUGAUGACAGGUAUAAAGGUGUGUUUAAAAGAGAAGAAGGAGUACCAGGUGUGGUAGCAUGUACCCAGCUCUUUAACUAGUUUCAGCUACUUGGGAGGCUGAGGUGGGAGGAAUUCUUGAGCCCAGGAGUUCGAGGGCAACACAGCAAGACCCCAUCUCUUAAAAAGAAUAAAAGAGGGAGCUGAGUUAUGAGUAAGAAUGGAGGAACAUGGCUGUGAGAAUGGAAGGGAGGAGUUACACAAAGUGACAGAUGAGAGAUGAUAUCCCCUGCUGACGGUCAGGGCUGAGAAUGAAGACUGAGUUAGACAGCUGUGUUGCUGUCCAUUGACACAGAAGCCUUAACUGGUGGCAGUGUCUAUUCUGCUCUGCUAUUGAAUCUCAAAAUUGAACCUACCUCUUUACUUCCACUGCCAUUGCUCAAGUUCAGUCCAGGUUUCUAUCAAAACUGCCUCUUAUUUUCCUAACUGGAAUCCCUGCCUUACAGUUUAUUUUUUAUUGCAGCAUUUUCUCUUCCCUGAUGCCAUAACUACCUUCCAAAAUGUAAACAUAAUGAUGCUCUGGACAUCCACACAAGCCUUUUGGAAAGGAGCCAUAGUUAUUGCAAAAUGAGAGGAGACAAGGAGGGGGAAAAAGGAGUUGGCCAAGGCUCUGGUCAUCAGGGCACACACUGUGGGCCAAGUGAUGGGUAAAAGCAGAGCCUUUGUAGUGCAGCUUGCACUGUAGAGCAGGCAAAUGUCCUUAGUUCUGUUUCUCUAGUACUCAAGAUUGAAGGCAAACUGCUAUGAGGAGUUGAGCCAGUCCUUCCUGUGUUGACUUGAGCCUCAUCGACUGCAGACACUCACAGUAUGAGGCACAGUGCAUGUUCACUUGUCUAUGCUCAAUCACACCACCAACUCACUUCCAUUUCCUAAUGUCAUUUAUUUCCAUUAAGAUUCUCUCCUUGUUUGGUGUCGCUGGGGCUUGGCGCAAGGCUUUUGAAUUUCCUACUGAAAAUCAAAGCUUACUGCUGUCAGAUAAGAUGAGAAGAGAGAACUGAUGAAGAAAGAAAGAAAAAGGUACAAAAAAGUAUUUAUACUAUACUUCCUGGUGAAAAAUGGCAACAGGGGAGUUUCAAGCUAAAAUUAAGAGUAAAGAGAGGAGGCGGGCAGAUCACAAGCUCAGGAGAUUGAGACCAUCCUGGCCAACAAGGCGAAACCCCAUCUAUACUAAAAAUUCAAAUAUUAGCUGGGUGUGGUGGUGUGUUCCUGUAAUCCCAGCUACUCAGGAGGCUGAGGCAGGAGAAUCACUUGAACCCGGGAGGUGGAGUUUGCAGUAAGUUGAGAUUGCACCACUGCACUCCAGCCUGGCAACAGAGCUAGACUCCCUCUCAACAACAACAACAACAAAAAAAAAAAAAAAAAAAAAAAGAGGAAUGAAUAGAAUCACAGGUUCAAGGAAUAACAUUAGGAAACCAACUUUAAAGUCAUUAGUUUGUGGGUUCCAGUCUCGCUCUGCCAGUUUCUGGCUCUGCUUGUUAAUAUGUAAAAUAGUAAAAUGGGAUUAAUAACAGUAGGUGCCUCAUAGAGAGGUUGCGAGAAUUAAGUAUUUCAUAUACUUAGUUAAUUAGUCAGUGUUAAUUGACAUUUUUUUUUGUCAUUGAUGAUAGCCUGAUCAACAGAAGUUAGGCUUGAAGUUAGAAAUGUUAGAAGUUAAAAGAAAUGAAGAUUAUUCCUUCAUCUUUUUCUACAUUGAUUGACUUAUUGAAAAAUUGUUACCAUUUUUUGAGCACCUAUUUGAUUUUAGGGAGAAUCCUUCAAAACAGAAGACACUGUUAAGAAGUGUAGAAUCUGGAAGCUUAGAGAAUACAGCUACUUUAAAUCCUUUUUUGAAGUGAGACAUAGACAAUUUAAAUAUCAAUUGGAUAAUCCAUCAAUAGAUUAAAAUUUCAGAGUGUUAGAGCUAAAAAAAGUACUUCACAGAUCAUUCACUCAAACCCUUUCAUUUUCCAGAUGCCCAAGCUGAGUUGCAUCAUUCAUUCAUUCAUUCAUUCAUCCUUCAUUCAUUUACAAUGUUUAUUGAGUGCCACCUGUUUGUCAGAUAUGGUUACCUGACAGGUAGUUCCUGAGACACAGCAGUGAACAGAACGGAACUGAUCCAUGCUCUUUUGUAGCUUACGUUCUAGUGGAGAAGGCAGACAACAAACAAAUAAAAUAGCAGUGGUAACAUGUCCUAAGACAAAAAUGAAACAAGGUGAGAGUAAAGAGGGGAAGCAGGCAUAUGUGUUAGUGCUUUGUGGGUAUGCGUGCUGUAUUAGUCUGUUCUCACACUGCUAAUAAAGACAUACCUGAGACUGGGUAAUUUAUGAAGGAAAGAGGUUUAAUUGACUCACAGUUCCACAUGGCUGGGGAGGCCUCACAAUCAUGGUGGAAGGUGAAGGAGGAGCAAAGUCAUGUCUUACAUGGCAGCAGGCAAAGAGAGCAUGUGCAGGGGAACUCCCCUUUAUAAAACCAUCAGAUCUCAUGAGACUUAUUCACUGUCAUGAAAACAGCAUGGGAAAAAUCCACCUCCAUGAUUCAAUUAUCUCCCACUAGGUCCCUCCCAUGACACCUGAGAAUUAUGGGAGCUACAAUUCAAGAUGAGAUUUGGGUGAGGACACAGAGCCAAAACAUAUUAUGUGCAUAUGCUGUUUUUAAAGAAUGUUCAGGGGAGGCCUCUUUGAUCAGGGGAUAUUUAAGUAGGCACUUAAAGGAUCUGAGUGCCAGAUUUGCUUGUCCUGGAGCAAAGUAGCACUUUAAAGAAGAUGCCUGUUCAGAUGACUUGCCCAACCCUCUCCAGGAUAAAUUCACAAGAGAUUUCGAUAUGAAGUGAGACAACAGAAGGACUAUAUCAGAGGAAAGGUGACACAAGUGCACUUUUGGCUAUGGGUCAUGAUGGCUCUCAGAAGGUUACAGGAAUCCUUUGUUGGAAACCCGGCAGGAAGUGAGGUAGAGUUAGGGCAGGGAGCAAAAAGAUUAAAAUGUGUGUCUUUAUGUGGGCUUUUGAUGCAUAUGAGCAUGAGUUGAUGUGAGGAUAUCUGAAACUGCUUUAUCUACUGCAGAAAUAUUGUCAUGAAACUUAAAGGAAAAUUAAAGGAAAACAGGUGUAGGUUCUAGAGUAUAUUCUCACUGAGGCAGUAGCAUAAAAAUUUAAAAAUCCCUGACAGCAGAACUGAUAGAUUGUUAGAAGGUUUAAGUUGGAAUGUGAGAGAGGGCCCCCAGCCCUCAUUCUUCAUAUUCUCUUUGUGGGGGUUAACUGUCAACAAGAGAGCAAUUUCAAAGACAAGCUGAGAAUGAGGGUGUGUUGGUGUCAUGCCACCAACAUGAAGGUCAUGAAUGUAAAUAAGGUAAUAAAAAUAUCAAUGGAAUGGUGCACUGUUGACAGGGAGUGUUCCAAAAACCAAACCAAACAAAAAACACAUGGGAUAUUUGGAAGAUCAACUCUUUAGACAGAAAAUUCUAUUAGCAAUUCUAUGGGGAACAACUCCCUGUAGGUGAAAUGUCUUAGAAGCAACAAAUUCUUUUUGUUCAUGGUUGAAUAAAAUGAGAUAAUAAUGCAAUAAUCUCCUAAUUGAGAGAAUAUCCUGGAGAUAUCAACCAUACCUAGAAUGACCAGGAGAGGGUAGAAGACUUGAUUGGGCUUGCCUAAUUAAAUAUCUGGUUUGUUUCAAGAGGAAGAGUGAAUUCACAAGACUAACUGUAACUUCAGGAAAAGUCUUAAAGAGUCCAGUGGAAACAGUUCUUAACCAUAGAGUUUUAAUGACAGAGCCUGCCUUUAAAAUUUGUUUUUGCAUAUUCUUUAUGAAUGACAAAAGCAUAAUACCCUAUCAAAGAUGCCUAAGAUUUUUUAAGUGUGUUCUUAUCUAUAAAUAGAUGAAAAAUGGAACUUGAAAGUAUUUGGGAAAAAAUGGACACAUGUUAAUAUUAGACUGUAGGUAUAGGAUAUUUUCAUAUAGGUGUGCCCUUUUAGGAUCUUCCUGAGAAGGAAGAUACCAAGCUGAAAGUCCCUAUCAUUUAAUUAAUUAAGUGAUGCUACAAUGCUUGCGAGUUCACAGGAACUGGGCUGUGGAUGCCUCUUGUCUAAUUCAAAGUGGUAAAGCUUAUAUAUAUUAGAAAUAAUCUUCUACUGCAGCCAUUUCAUCAUUCCCUCCCACUUUCAUUCUCUUAUUACUGAUACGGUUUGGCUGUGUCCCCACCCACAUCUCAUCUUGAAUUAUAGUUCCCAUAAUACUCACGUGUAGUGGGAGGGACCCCGUGGGAGGUAAUUGAAUCAUAGGAGCGGUUACCUCCAUGCUGCUGUUCUCAUUAUAGUGAGUUACCGCGAGAUCUGUUGGCUUUAUAAGGGGCUUUUCCCUGUUUGCUCAGCAGUUCUCCUUCCUGCCAUCCUGUGAAGAAGGAUGUGUUUGCUUUCCCUUACACCAUGAUUGUAAGUUUUCUGAGGCCUCCGUAGCCAUGUGGAGCUGUGAGUCAAUUAAACUUCUUUACUUUAUAAAUUACCCAGACUUGGGCAGUUCUUUAUAGCAACAUGAGAAUGGACUAAUACAAUCACAAUGCCAGGGACUCUAUCAGGGCCAGUGUGCCACUGUGAUCUUUGCCCUUAAAUGGAAAAUGUUUAUUGUCAGAUGUCUCCUCUUCCCUCCCUUUCAACAAUUAAUGCCACUGACCUCAACGAUGGCCUAGGGUACAGAACAUUCUUCAGAAUCGAUGCUUCCCUUGAUUUCCUCACCUCAUAUUUAGCACUUGAGUUCUCUAGCAUAAAUCAGAAGUAUGACAAAUUGUGGAAAUCCUAUAUAUCAUCUAGAAGAAAGGAGAAAUAGUUGAAGACAAAAUGUAGUCGUUAUCAGUAGGUAUUCAUCAAUUACUAUAUAUAUUGAAUCUACAAUAGCCACUGAUUUUUAAGUGGUGUCAUCAUUUUAUGUAAAACUAAAGGCAAUGCUUCCUCAUUACACCAAGACGCAAUGUUUCUUACAUCUUAUAAUUUUUAUUUCACAUUAUUAAGAGACUAUUUUAGACUUAGAUUUUUCUUUUAUCAUUUAUCAUCUUUGUGCAUGUAUGCAUCUUUGUGCAUCUUCACUGUGUGCAAGUGAAAUAAAUUGUCUGUUAUUGCAGGAAGAUGUGGAAUUAUAAUCAUUCCUCCCAUGAAGAAUAUUUGCUUCACUGUUAUUAGAUUUAUACUGUAUUGCUCAGUAUCCUUGCCUUUCUUCUUGUCUAUCACAUUUUAUUUAAUGCCGAGUAACAGUGCAAAAUUUUAAGGAACACAAUGAGACUCAUCAUUUGUAGCACAAGCAGUGCAAAUAACUAAAGUGACAACCGUAUGAAGAUCUAUGACCAAGUUUGCACACGUGCAGGCAAUUACAACUUCCUCACAACUGCUACCUGGGUGGCAAUGUUUUAAGACACCAUCAGUUAGAGAAUGUAUUUCAAUUUCAGAAAUAUUUAAGAUGUGGAGAAAAUGGACAUCCAGUUUUUAACAAAAUAUGGUAAUUACAGAAAUAUAAGGUAACAAAGACCUGUAAUACUUUCUAAUGCUGUGGGACAAUAGGGAAGAAAUGUCGGUCAGAGAAUAGCUGACUUUGACUUUAAUCUCCUGAUGAAUAUAUCCCUAAUUUCAAAUGAACCCUGGCACAAAAGAGAUGCUCAGUACCAACCUCUUCAGGUAAUGAAUGAGAAGCUAAGGUUGACUUUCUUCUCUGACGGAGAAGUUAAGUUUUCUUAAAAAAAUCAUAGCUGAUUCAUAAUAACAUAAGUUAAUUUUGACAAAAGAAAGAUCACCAAUGACCUCACAAUCCUAAUAGGAUUACUUUUAUUUUUUUAUAUUCAUCUUAGUGUUCAUCUAUGUAAGUUUUUAGUGUUUCUAGUUGUAAUCAUAAUGAAUAUAACAUUUUUAUACAUUUACACUGAAUAUUAUAUCAUAACAGUAUAAUUAUAAUUUUAUGGCUGUGUAAUAUUCCAUUGAAUUAUACACAGUAAUUUAUUUAAAGAUUCAUUGUUAUUAUACAUGUAAAUUACUUCUGAUGCUUUGCUAUUUUAGUUAAAGCUAUAAAUAACAUUAUCGUGCAUUUAGUUUUCCCUUCUGUUAAAUUAUAUUCCUAGGAAACAUUCCCAGGAGUGGAAUUUUUGGUGAUGGGGAAUGAUACAUUUUUAUGGCUCUUGGUAUAAAUUGCCAUAAAAACAGGUUCUAAUAAAAUUCAGUGGCAAUUUCUCCUUAAAGAUUCUGAAGGACAGGGGACUAUUAGCCACUUUAUAAUACUGCUUCAUUUUCUAGGAUGUAUAUGUCAUUGGAGGCAUGGCUUAAGAAGAGAGGAAAAAACAAAUUGCUGUCGCUUGGUUACUACAGCGCUCCCCAAUUUUCGUACAGCCUGGGUGCUGCAGUUCAGCUCUUUGCUCUGCUUUCUAGCUUUCUCAGCAAUUUUGCAACUGAACAUAAGGCUCUAAGGGGCUCUGAGUUAAGGGAUAUCGGUCAUUACUAGGUAGAACAUGGAACAAAAUUCUUUCUAAGUUUUUCAGAACUGGAUAGUAAAAGGUAAGAUUUGGUUAAGCAGGGUGGUUUGGUUACAAUAUAAUUUGCAGAGUCGCUCUAUGGAAUUACUCCCAUUUACAGGGUGAAAAUGAUGAUGCCUAUUUUGCUAGAUUCAAGAUAACUUAUAUAGUCACAGUCUUUGAAAAACAACAUCUAUGACCACCAAAUAUAGACUACGGCUAAAAGUUAAGGGCCUGAGAAGGCUAUAUAUGAAUUUAGGACAGAAGUAUAUGCCUCUUAGGAAUGUAUGCCAUUUUAGAAUAAAAAAAAAAUCCUUUAGGUCAUGUCCAGGUUUCUACCAUAUCCUCCUUAUAGCACAAAGAAUGUCAGUAACUGAGAUAACAGAGAUAUUUAUUUGUCUCCCAUGAUACUGAAGGAAAAAUUUAAGCAGGCAUUACAAUUCACACAAGUCUUAUACAGGCUGUGUUCUUCAUAUAGGAGGGUUACUUUGUUGACCUAUCUGUUAACCUAUCCUAAGUAAAGCCCUUCUUUGUUUUCCAUUAAAAAGUUUAGUUUUAUCCAUGUUAUCUCUGUCCUCACAGUUACAAAGGACUUAAGCAUCUUUUUGAGAAAAGGCAUGCGUAAGUAACUUUUUAAGAAAAGGGUCAGGGAUGCCAUCUGUGGCUAUGGGAAAGCAAAACAAAACAGAAUUAUCUCCAGAGAAUGUCACAAUGGUUAUCAGAACACACAAACUGCUGUUUGCAAACCUGUGUUAGGAUCGCCAUGAUACUAAAUCUCAAAGAAAGUCUCUAUACACAUGUGAUAUUAUGAUACCAAAGAGCUCAAAUAGGAAGUUUGAGUUCAGAUUUUCGAUCAUUUGGUUUUUGUAGCAUUUAUUAUAGAAAUUAGUAAAUUAUCUCUAGUAUUUUCAUUAAACAUUUGGUGCUGUCAGUGCUGUUAACCAUGGAAACACAUUUGUGUUGUAGUAAUCAGGACUUGUUCAGGUGCAAGUGACAGAAACACAACACAAACAAAUGAGAAGGGCACUUUGUGGCUCAUCUUACAGGGCAGUCUGGAUAGUUUUGGCACAACUUGAUCCAGGGGCUUGAAAAAUGUGAUCAUAUUUCUAUUUUAAUCUCCAUUUCAUGGUUCUGUACUUUUUGUCUUUUUCAUGCAGGUUCUAGCCAUUUGUUAGGAGAGAUGGGCUCUGGUAGCCCAAAGUAUGCACUUACUGUUUGUGAACCCACCAAAAGAGAGAGUUCCUGUCUCUGUCAGCACCAAAGCUCAAGAUAGACUUUAAUUGACCAUGUUGGUGUUAGAUGCCCAUCCUUGAAAAAAUUACUUAAGAAAAUGAUAUCCUCUCAUUGGUGAAACCUGAAUUAUCCUUCAUCCCUUUGGCAGGUGGGGCCAGGCAUCAAGACUGACUGUGGAUUUUAAGAGGGGUGGUGCUGCAGGAGAGAAGGGUGCUCCUACUAGAAGAGGAGGAAGAGAUUCUGAGCAAACCCAACAAGCAGUCAUGACAGUGGCAGUUCUAAAUGCCUACAAGAUCCACUAAACAUUGGUUACAUUUGAGAAGGUCUUUCCCAGUAUUUUUCCUUUUCUUUUGUAUUUGCUUUCCAUAAUCUUCUAUGUAA